rnacentral:rRNA from 1 species
AACGUAGGAGACAAACGUUAUCCGGAGUUACUGGGCGUAAAGGGCGUGUAGGCGGUUAGUUAAGUCUGGCGUGAAAUUUCUCGGCUUAACCGAGGCAGGUCGUCGGAUACUGCGAGACUAGAGGACGGUAGAGGCGUGUGGAAUUCCGGGUGUAGUGGUGAAAUGCGUAGAGAUCCGGAGGAACACCAGUGGCGAAGGCGACACGCUGGGCCGUACCUGACACUGAGGCGCGAUAGCAUGGGGAGCAAACAGG